AUCGAACGAAUACGGAUCUCUAACCUUGAAAAAAUUUAAACACUCUUAAUCGAGUAUCAAUAUUUGUUACGUAUUAUUCGACGUGAUUAUUGUUGCAAAAUGACAGAGAAAGCUGUUUCAUUGAAAACUGAUUACGAAUGUGAAAUGGAUGGAAGGAGCGACGACGACAGUGGAGAUGAUUGGGAUGAAAUCACGGAAGAUUUUGAAUCGAUACCGUGCCUUUUUUGUAACGAGGUUACAAACAACUUUUCCACGGCACUGGAGCACCUUAUUGCAUCGCAUAGAUUCGAUUUGAAGAAUUUUGUAACAAGACAUUCUUUAGACACUUAUUCCUAUAUUAAAUUGAUCAACUUUAUUCGGCAUAAAAAUGUUUUGCCCGACCAAUUAAAUGCAUUAAAUAUUAAAACAUGGGAGAACGACGAAUAUUUAAGGCCUAUCAUAGAAGAUGACCCUUGGCUGAUGUUUGAUAUCGAAGAUUUAGAAGAGAAAACAACAAAAUCUAUAGCGUAUACCGUAAAUUUAGAGAACGGAUGUGUCACAUUAUCCGAGGCACAUUUUGUGGAAUUGCAAAAAACAAUUCAAACUCUGAGAGCACAAUUGGAGCAACGUGAACUAGCAUGUUUUAUGGCAAAACAGCAAAUAGAUGAAAUGUCAGAGAAAAUACGGAAGCUGAUACUAGACGACGAUGCUGAUGGGAACAACAGUAUUAGUUCCUCCAGUAAUCCUAAAUACAACGUUGACAAAGGCUAUUUUAAUACAUACAGUCAUUUUGCUAUACAUCAUGAGAUGUUGACGGACAAAGUACGAACAGAAAGUUACCGCGACGCAUUGCUAACGAAUGCAAAUAGAUUUAGUAACUCCGUGGUGCUAGAUGUUGGUUGCGGAACUGGUAUCCUGUCUAUGUUUGCAGCAAAAACUGGCUGUCGCAAAGUUAUCAGCGUCGAUCAAUCGGAUGUAAUCUAUCAUGCUAUUGAUAUAGUGAGAGAAAACAAUUUGAGUGAUAUUAUCACUUUAAAAAAAGGUCGCCUCGAGGACAUUAAUCUCGAUGAAGAGAAAGUUGAUGCGAUUGUGUCCGAAUGGAUGGGAUAUUUUCUCUUGUACGAAGGUAUGCUCGACACAGUCAUAUAUGCUAGGGAUCAUUACUUGGCACCCGAUGGAAUACUUCUUCCCAACAGAUGUACACUCAAUAUCGUUGGUAGCGGAGAUACCAGAAGGUACGUCGAACUUAUUGACUAUUGGUCAAACGUGUAUGGAUUUAAAAUGAGCUGUAUGAAAGCAGAAGUUGUUCGCGAGCCGAACAUUGAAAUUUGUGUCGCCGACGAAUUGAUAACGAGCACGGUUGAAAUUCAAGCGUUCGAUUUGUACAAAGUAACGACUGAUUGUGUGAAUUUUGCAUCGCCAUUUGAAUUAACGGUAAAGAAGACUGGAUCGUUGACAGCAAUUGUCGGCUUUUUUGAUAUCUUCUUCGACUUGGACAAUCCAGUUCAUUUCAGUACGGGACCCCACUCGACGCCAACACAUUGGAAGCAAACAGUAUUUUCGUUGAGCGAGCCUAUUAGCAUCACCGAAGGUGAGGUUUUAAAUGGUAAGAUAAUUUGCCGAAGACAUAUCAGGGAUAUUCGAGGGCUUAUUAUUACAAUCAAUAUUAAAAAUACUAGCCAAGUUUAUUAUCUGGAAUGAGGCUUCGAUGCACGCUUCGAUGUUCAUACGAUAGAUGUAAGUGCCAAAUACAAAAAACAUAGGGUCCAGAACAGCUUGUCGGUCAUAACGUUGUUGAUGACUAUCAUAAGUUCCGUCGAAUUUUGUAAGAAGAGUUAUUGCGAUAGUAGUAACGGUUACCGGUUGCAUGAAUACUUGAUCGAUUCGGAUAAUGGCAGCAGUUGAACGUUUAUGAGAAAUUGUCGAGUAAAAAAUGGGUUUGUAUAGU